rnacentral:misc_RNA from 1 species
UUCCUUCUGAGAAGACCUCUAAAAAGCAUAAAGGUAAAAGUAAUGAGGUGGCCACUUCUUCAAAGAACAAACGUAAUGAUCACCAUGACCACUCGAGGAAUUCUAGUAAAGAUUUCAAGGAUGGUGAAAAUAAUAGAAAGAGUAGCAAUGAUGGCUACACUAGGCUUGCUUCCGAUUCCAGUAGGAAUACCAGUAAUGCCAGUGUAGCUGACAGCUUUGCAAGCAGUGAUGUUGCUCAAAAAAAUAAUGUUAAGGGGAUUUUUACUAACCCUAGGAUUCAUGAUUCAUUUUUGGGCGUGGGUGAGUAUGAGAAUUUGGCCAUGCGAAAAGGAAAAUUUGGACUAGGAUUUAGGAGGGCUAGUUUAAAUGAUGGAUCAUUUAGUGGGUUUGGGCACUCGGGCAUGGGUGGAUCCACAGGUUUUUGCGAUAUCAAGAACAGGUUUGCCAUUGCAGUGACACUAAACAAAAUGUCAUUCGGGGGUGUGACAAGAAAAAUUGUUCAGCUUGUUUGUUCAGAACUAAAUAUCCCAUUGCCUGAGGAUUUCUCAGGUUCUGGUGAUAGAGGACCUGAUGUGCAGUUAAAUAUAGGGAGAUCACUGAUUAACUGAAUAUAUAUGAGAAAAUUGUCUCUCUUUGCUGUGUGUGGUGUAUACACGUGAACAAAACUCAAAAGAUGUCACAACGACCACAAUUAAUUUGGAAACAAUGUGGACUGACUUUGUAGUUUUAGUUAACAAUGGUAUACAGUUAUAUGUACACUUUAGCAAAUGUGUUUUUGAGUUGCAUUUGUUCGUUUCAAAAUAUGAUGCAUUUUGUGUCUGUAAACAAAUACACGUAUUGGUUGAUGAAUUUUUAUAUGGUGAAAUCAUUGUGCAUACUUUGG